GGGUGGGUCUUGUUCAGCCCCAACAAAUGAAAGAAGAUUAAUUAACAGAAGCAGCUGCAGCUGGGCCUGGAGGCAGUGGCUCUACAGCAGCAGUGAGAGCCGAGCUGUGGCAGACACAUGCUCUUCCCCUGACUCACGGCUGCCCAGUUCCCUCCAGCGAGGCUGCUGACCUAUUUUUCUAUUAGGAACAACCAGCCAAUGUGAUAAUGAGGAAAAUGUAUUCUGGCCCCUAUGAAGUUUAGUGAAGCCCGAAUGAAGUGGAGGAGGCCACGGAGAUGCACGAGGAAGAGCAUUCCAGGCAGAGGGAACAGCGAGGACAAAAGCCCCCGGGCAGGAAUGGGUGUGCAAGCCUGAGAUCCAACAUGGCGGAGAGCAAGCCGGAAGUGCUGCGCGGGGAUCCUAAGGGAGCACUGAACAGGACAAGCUCAGUUUUGUCCCUCAAACCUCCACAAUCAGGUAAGUCAGUCGGCCUCGCAUAAGAUAUAUGUUUUCCCCACCAAUCUCCAUUCUGAGGAGUGGAGUAGAAACUCCCUCUCCUCUCAUGAAAUGUUGAGUAUCAGGGAGCAAGUGUGUGCUAAAAAGGGUUACCUCGGUGGAACUAGGUUGCUCAAAUCCUGAACAUUCCGAAGGAAGGACUGGCCCCUGACCAGCUCUGGGGAGCUAACUUCUGGGUCUUUGGAAUAUGCCUGAGGAGAGCACCUUUGUGACCUGAGACUUCAGCCCUGCCUACACCUUAUGCUAACAGUGUGGUUUAUGGGGAAGACCUGUUUUUAUUUGCUGGGAGCCCUGGGCCAUGCUGUAUCUCUUUGACUUCUGGAUGGGUGGGGAACUGAGGAAUAAAUUGCUAAGGCCAGUCAUGUAGAUGCUCCAUGCCUAUAUGACUGACCUCCAAUAAAAAUCCUGGCACCAAGACUUGGGUAAGCUUUCCUCAUUGACAGUAAUUGGUGUGUAUUAUUGUCACACGUUGUUGCUGGGAGGACUAAGUGUUGUCCAUGUGACUCCGCAGAGAACUCCUGGAAGUUCACCCCGGUUUCUCCUGAACUCUGCCCUAUUGUCCCUUUUUCCUAUGCUGAUUUUAAUCUGUAUUCUUUUUAUCCCCAAGUUCUGGCAAGUCUUUGAUGUAUUCUUUUCCCAUAAUAAACUGUAACUGUGAGCAUAA
ensembl:lncRNA LINC01563 long intergenic non-protein coding RNA 1563